rnacentral:ncRNA from 1 species
AAUAAUCAGCGGGGAAAGAAGACCCUGUUGAGCUUGACUCUAGUUUGAUUUUGCGAAGACACAAACGGUGUGGCAUAAGCGGGUAAUCGGUUCGUCCAGUCGAAAGUGAAAUACCACUACUUUUAUAGUUUCUUUACUUAUUCGGUGAAGUCGAUGAAGAGUCGUUAAAUGAUUCGGUAUUUUUGUGUUAGUAUUUGUUUGUUGUUGCUGUGUACACCGAAGAGAGUGUCAGAAGAGGAAAAUGUACCAAUUUUCACUCGUACACUGGUGAAAAUUUAACGCAGGUGUCUUAUGGAGAGCUCAGUGAGACCAGAAACCUUACGAUGAAUAAAAGGUCGAAAGCUUGCUUGAUUUCGCUUUUCAGUCUUUUUGACUUUGUUUAUUUCAAACAAGGGGUGUCAGAUAAGUUACCACCGAUAACUGGAUUGUGGCAGCCAAAUGUUCGUAACGACGUUGCUUUAUUGAUCUCUCGAUGUCGGCUCUUCAUUUGCAAAGUGUUGGAAAUGUUGGCUCGGUUUAAACCGUCGUGAGACAUCUUAGUUUUACCGUACUGAUGACAGUAUCGUUGCAAACGUGAUCAUGCACAGUAUGAGAGGAACCGCUACUUUUGAUAUUUGGUUUGUGUAUCUGGUCGAAAGGCCAAUGAUGCGAGUCUAUCGUCAGUUUGAUUAUGGUUGAACGCCUGUAAAUCAGAAUCUGGUCUAUAGCGGAAUAGAAAUUAAGCUGUCUGUAUGCAUCAGGGCGAAGAUAAAGUUCACUUCAAUGAAAAGUACGAAUUAGUGAAACGUCGGGAAUCCGUGUCGGGUGUUUUGAUGUUGGACAAUUUGCGGACGUGCGAAUGAAAGCUACGAUGUAUUUGAUGAUUAGAACAAUUGUGAAACAGGUAACAGACGAGGUGUCGUAUUCUUUUGAGUAGGUACCAUCCUGUGAUCAGUUGAAACUGUGCCUAUGACUAGGGUUCU